rnacentral:rRNA from 1 species
GACGAACGCUGGCGGCGUGCUUAACACAUGCAAGUCGAACGGAAAGGCCUGCUUUCCCUUGUGGAUUGCGGGUGCUCGAGUGGCGAACGGGUGAGUAACACGUGAGUGAUCUGCCCCCAACUUGGGUAUAAGCCUGGGAAACUGGGUCUAAUUCCCGAUAGGACUGCAGGGUGGUGCCUGUGGUGGAAAACGAUUUUCUAGUGGUUGGGGAUGAGCUCGCGGCCUAUCAGCUUGUUGGUGGGGUAAUGGCCUACCAAGGCGGCGACGGGUAGCCGGCCUGAGAGGGUGGACGGCCACAUUGGGACUGAGAUACGGCCCAGACUCCUACGGGAGGCAGCAGUGGGGAAUAUUGCACAAUGGGCGGAAGCCUGAUGCAGCGACGCCGCGUGGGGGAUGACGGCCUUCGGGUUGUACACUCCUUUCGACCGCGAGGAAGCCACCUGGUUGGAAGGGUGGUGACGGUAGUGGUAGAAGAAGCACCGGCUAACUACGUG